rnacentral:rRNA from 1 species
GACGAACGCGGGAGGCGGGAGGAACACAGGCAAGUCGAACGGAAAGGCCCUGCUUUUGUGGGGUGCUCGAGUGGCGAACGGGUGAGUAACACGUGAGUAACCUGCCCUUGACUUUGGGAUAACUUCAGGAAACUGGGGCUAAUACCGGAUAGGAGCUCCUGCUGCAUGGUGGGGGUUGGAAAGUUUCGGCGGUUGGGGAUGGACUCGCGGCUUAUCAGCUUGUUGGUGGGGUAGUGGCUUACCAAGGCUUUGACGGGUAGCCGGCCUGAGAGGGUGACCGGCCACAUUGGGACUGAGAUACGGCCCAGAGUCCUACGGGAGGCAGCAGUGGGGAAUAUUGCACAAUGGGCGGAAGCCUGAUGCAGCAACGCCGCGUGCGGGAUAACAGCCUUCGGGUUGUAAACCGCUUUCGCCUGUGACGAAGCGUGAGUGACGGUAAUAGGUAAAGAAGCACCGGCUAACUACGUC